rnacentral:rRNA from 1 species
UGUCGUCAGCUCGUGUUGUGAAAUGUUGGGUUAAGUCCCGCAACGAGCGCAACCCUUAUCCUUUGUUGCCAGCGGUCCGGCCGGGAACUCAAAGGAGACUGCCAGUGAUAAACUGGAGGAAGGUGGGGAUGACGUCAAGUCAUCAUGGCCCUUACGACCAGGGCUACACACGUGCUACAAUGGCGCAUACAAAGAGAAGCGACCUCGCGAGAGCAAGCGGACCUCAUAAAGUGCGUCGUAGUCCGGAUUGGAGUCUGCAACUCGACUCCAUGAAGUCGGAAUCGCUAGUAAUCGUGGAUCAGAAUGCCACGGUGAAUACGUUCCCGGGCCUUGUACACACCGCCCGUCACACCAUGGGAGUGGGUUGCAAAAGAAGUAGGUAGCUUAACCUUCGGGAGGGCGCUUACCACUUUGUGAUUCAUGACUGGGGUGAAG